rnacentral:rRNA from 1 species
AUUGAACGCUGGCGGCAGGCUUAACACAUGCAAGUCGAGCGGGGGAAGGUAGCUUGCUACCGGACCUAGCGGCGGACGGGUGAGUAAUGCUUAGGAAUCUGCCUAUUAGUGGGGGACAACAUCUCGAAAGGGAUGCUAAUACUGCAUACGUCCUACGGGAGAAAGCAGGGGAUCUUCGGACCUUGCGCUAAUAGAUGAGCCUAAGUCGGAUUAGCUAGUUGGUGGGGUAAAGGCCUACCAAGGCGACGAUCUGUAGCGGGUCUGAGAGGAUGAUCCGCCACACUGGGACUGAGACACGGCCCAGACUCCUACGGGAGGCAGCAGUGGGGAAUAUUGGACAAUGGGGGGAACCCUGAUCCAGCCAUGCCGCGUGUGUGAAGAAGGCCUUAUGGUUGUAAAGCACUUUAAGCGAGGAGGAGGCUACUUUAGUUAAUACCUAGAGAUAGUGGACGUUACUCGCAGAAUAAGCACCGGCUAACUCUGUGCCAGCAGCCGCGGUAAUACAGAGGGUGCGAGCGUUAAUCGGAUUUACUGGGCGUAAAGCGUGCGUAGGCGGCUUAUUAAGUCGGAUGUGAAAUCCCCGAGCUUAACUUGGGAAUUGCAUUCGAUACUGGUGAGCUAGAGUAUGGGAGAGGAUGGUAGAAUUCCAGGUGUAGCGGUGAAAUGCGUAGAGAUCUGGAGGAAUACCGAUGG